ensembl:lncRNA
GCUAGGAGGGUGGGUCGGCUUGGGCAAGUUCGGUUGGCCGGCAGGCUGCGGCUUCGGCCACGGGGUUUCCUCCAAUUAGAUCCAGGGUAAAAGGACGUCACUGUUACCAUGGCAAUGCUGUUACCAACGCCCCUCAUCCUCCCAGCCACCCCCGGCACUCGUGGGCGCGGCACGGGAGCGGGAAGCUCGCACGACCUCUCCUGCGGCGGCCGGGUUCUCUUGCUGCUGCGGCGUUGCAGACAGUUCACUGCAUCUUGUUGGCUCCCCAUGCAGCUGCGGCUCUCGUCGGCCCGGGUGAGGUCGGGCCUGGGAGGGUGACACCAUCGGCUGUUUUGUUACCCAAACUCCUGUCUUUCCUCCACCUUCCUAUUCGUGACAAAGGUUUGGAGCUCAAGACACUGAACCUAGCCUCUAAUGACAUUACGAUGGGGACCGUGAAUUAGAAAUAAUCCCAUCCCCAUUAAAGAGGACUUAGUUCCUGGAGAAAGUGGCAUAAGCUUGGAUUUUACACUUUCAUUUUAAGACCGGCACCUAAAACCUGAAAUUCCCUUGGAAAAUUACCCCCUCCCCAAAAAAAGUCCAGGCAAUGCCAGAUAUUAUGACUUUCUUUCAAGUGGGAAAUGACCUUAGGGAUAAUUGGGAGAAAAACAUACAUUUAAUCCUCCCUCUCCCCCCGCCAAAGCAACUGUUUUUAUAUUUCUUUCCAGACUUUCCAGGUCACGCAUUUAAAUACUUAUUUUUCACAUCACUGCUGUCUUACAUGUACACGCUUUUUAUCUUCUGGUAUUAUUUUUGAGAGGACAAUCGAAAAGCUAAACUUCUCUCCCUAGAUGUUGACUGCUGACUUUCCCUUGUGAGCACCCCUCUGAAAUGAGAGCGAUCGCUUCAGAUGGCUUCUAUUCAGGGUCAUCACCAGCCCUUUCCCUUCCCUUUAAACUGGGAGCUCCCCUCCUGCCAUUCUCUUCUCUCCGGAAUGUUCCCAGUACCAGACUCCAAAUAAGGUGGCUGUCCUGGGUGUCUGGAAAGUGGUCUUUGUGCCAUCUGGGCUCACACUGCCGUGAUUCCAGUUCCAGCACGUCCAGGGAAAAACAGAUCAUUGAGAGCAAAGAAUGCACAGCCAAGAAAGAAUUGCACAUUCUAAGCGGAGGUCUUAGAAGCAGAUCUGGAGACUCUAGAAUGGAAGAUCUGAGCACUGACAGAUAGCAGGAGAAGUGCAUUUCGAGCUUACUGGAAUUAGAGACAGUUCAGGCGAAAGGAGAGACAGCCCAGCAGAGGUGAGUGGGGGAUGGAGACCCUGGAACAGGAUGGUCAGGGGAUAGAACCUCUUGUAGGGAGGGAGGGUAAGGGCAAGAACACUAAUUCUUUAUCAGAAAGCCUGGACUGUACUGCCAUCUCCCGAGGUGACCUUGGGCAAGGUUUACUUCUCUCUGUAACUCAGUCUCUAUAAUUUCUGCUUUUAUCCAAUCAGAUAUUUAUUGAACACCAACUCAUAUAGUUACAAUCACCUGAACUCAUGGGUAAAAACUGCUUGGAAGCAAUGGCACUCUAUAAAACUAUGUUUCAUCAGGGACCAGAGGGGUAGGUUAAAUCUAAAGUCCUCUGCCCUGAAAGAACUCAGAGAAAAUUAAAGCUCUGGGGACUUGAAGCCCCUGGACACAUAAAGAGCUAACACUUACUGAGUGAUCACAUGUGUCAAACACCAUUUUAAGUCUUUUGCAAGACUUAGCGCAUUUAAUCUGCUUAAAGCCACUGUGAAGUAGGUAGUACAGUAAGUCCUCUGCCUACAAACCUUCAAGUUUCAAACUUGCAAAGAUGUGAAUGUGCCUUUGACGAAGGUCAGGCGUGACACCGAAGCUUGUCUUCCAUCUCCUAUUGACGAUCCUUCAAGUCUGCUGCCUCCCUCCUCCAGACAGUAACUCUUCUUGCCUGUUCCCGUGAUGCCAGCCCUUGUAUGCCAGCUGUUGUACUGUACUAACGUACUUUUCAUGGGACUGUCCUGAAAG